rnacentral:lncRNA from 1 species
CUCAGUGCUGACAGGGCAAUCUCAUGACUAUUGUAAAAGGGACAUUCUUAACAUAUGUGACGUAUGCUUUUUGUUCCAAAACAGUAUAUAACCAUUCUGUAUGCCCCACUUCUUUGGCGCCCUUCCUUCCUUGGGGAAGGAAGGCCCCGGGCUAGUCCUCAGAUCUGGCUCAUAAUAAACUCACCCCAAUUUUGAUUUAAAGAUUGGUCAGAACCAAUUAUUUGUGUCAACACACCUAUGGCUAGUAGAUGUGAGGUGCAAUUUCAUGGGGCAUGCAAAGCAGGAAGGCUUUAAAUGACUAAAAAUAUGUUUAUUUGGGCUGUAUUUGAUACAAUUGGGUGUGUAAAAAUUUGAAUUUUGUGCCAGCAGGCUUUUGAGCCCACAGUCUCAGCCUACCAUGAGGGGCCAAUAUCAGGCCAUGUUUGGAUCAUUAUACAACAUUAUGUCAGUCCUAGAUUCUUUAGUCCCUGUCAAGCCCUCAGGUGACUCUAGCCCUGAAAGACAGCUUAAUUGAAACCUCAUGAGAGACUCUGAGCCCCAACAAGCCAGCAACUUAGCUCCCAGAUUCACGACCCUCAGACACUGUGUGAGAUAUAAAUGUUCGUUGUUUUAAGCUGCUAAACUUUGGGGGCUUUAUCAUGCAUUAGUAGAUAACUAAUACAAAUGCCUCCACAAACAAAGCCUGUCACGCUGCACUAAAAGGCUGGCUCUCUGCUCACUCUGUCACCCGUACAUACUCCUGGCAUACCAACCUGUACUCUUAAUAGUGAAACUUAGCUCUGGCCCACACUUACUCUGGCCCCAACCUGACAGUUUCAUGUGAGAUAGUUUUCAGCCAUGCUUCAAAGAACCCACAGCAGCAAACCGCCCUGAACCGGUUCUACCCUAACCACAGGAGCAGCGCCUGUGUAAAAGGACCUGGAGGGACCCUGAAAUCACCUUUGCCUCGUUACCUACCAUGCUAAAAGCCCGGCCAGGAGCAGAGGCCUGGUAAAUACUGAAUGCUCUGGUUUCCUGAGUUUAACAUUCACUUGCAGCUGAAUGAUGAUCAGGAGGAGAACCACAAGGCAUGCUGGCCCCCAGAGCACUGUGUCCAGGAAGGAGGCACAGGCUGGCACAGGCAGCCCGUGGACUCUACGCUCCACAGCUUUGGGCCAGCACCAGCAAAAUCAUGACUUGAGACCACUGUGCUCUUGACUUCCAUGUCGUAUUCACUUCCCUUUCACCAGGAUGCAACUCUUGAAGCAGAAAAAAUAACCUGCUUGUAAUAAUCAUCAGCUUCAUUU